UGUGUCCACAACCCCACGUGGCCAAUGGACGGCUGAAAAACACUUCGGAUGUUAAAACGUGGUACGAAGCAAACACAACUGUUGAAUUUGAAUGCCUUCAUGGAUACCGCUUUUCAGAGGAUGGAGACCUGGCUUCAGAGGAUUCCUGGACAGCCACGUGCUUGCCUGAUGGCAAGUGGACACCACUGCCCACGUGUAAGCAAAGUGAUGUGGAUGUAUGUGAAGAGGUUCGUUACAUUAGAAGGGCCUUUGAAUGUGAUGUGCCUAUAGCAGAAGUGAAAACCCUACUGGAAAUAGAAAAACUGUUUCUGGAGAUUAAAAAACUACAGCUGGAACUAGAAAACUUGAACAAGUGAGUUCUGUAAUGCACUGUAAUGAGCGCCUUUCCUUUGGCGAACACAAAAUUUGUGUAGUCACAGGAGGUAUAAGAAGGCUCUUGGUGACUUUACAGUUCAUACUUGCAUGCCUAUAGCCAGAGACAUCAUAACCAGUGUAUGGGAGACUGCUUUUUCCAUGCUAGAUGCCAGAGCAUGGAGAGAUUUUUGCUUUUUUCCUUAAAUCUGACAAGCUCAAUUCGGUAUUUAACAGGUGUGUUGCUCCGCAAAUUAUUUUAGGAAGCAUAGUAAGAAAUUAAAUUGACCUACUGUGAGUCCCUGAAUAAACUGUGCUGAGAGAGCAGGGGGGCUGAAGUCCAGGGCAGCAACCUUCUCACAGAGAUGGGUGUCUGGUUCUCUGCAGGGGCUUUUGCUGGGAUCUUCCAGCCGGUGGUUUGUGCAAUGCCUCACCCCCUGCCCGUACCCAUCUCAGCCCCUCACAGCAUUCAGUGCUGCUUCUGGUCAGAAAUAGUAGUGAAGUGAGCAUUUAACUACCUGAUUCCCUGUUAAUCUUGCUGGUGAUUUCUGUUGAUCUGGCUGAGGGCAGUUAUGUAUAAGAAGUGCGUUUGUAAAAGUUUCUCUUCCCUUGUCCCUGGAUUUAAAGCAGGCAGCAGGUUUCUGGCCCAGCGCUGCUCCUCGACAGAUAUCUGUGGUGGUGUCACCUUCCAUGUCCCUAUUUCAGGCAGGCAAAUGCCAAGAAUAGAUGUUGUAAGUGUAAGUGUAGAGAAUCAGAGUGUUCUUAUUACUCCGUAGGCGAUGAUCAGAGCUCUGUGAUGCAGCAAUUACUCCUUCCUUCCAGGAUUGCAAUAAAGAUGCAGGUGCAACCA